ACAGGUGUGUCGGCAGAGAGGACUUUCCCAGGACCUUUGGUGGAAGUUGCACACAAGCCCAGCUCCCAUCACAAGGGUCCUCCAACAGAGAAGAUCAAAGACACAGCAAACAAGAUAUCCCUGGAACCAUCUGAACUCAUGUGGCAAAUGCUGAGGGAAAUGCUGCAGGGAGGACAAGAGAUGGAAGGAGAGGCUGUGCAGAAGGAAGCAUUUCCCAGAGGAAGCAGUGAUUCUGUGCCAGCCUCUGCUGCAGGAAGGGAGGCGAUGCCAGGCACAGUCACUGGAGGUAAUUGCUGUGCCUCUGGGCCUGAGCCCUGCUGAGGCUUGAGCUGCCCUCUCUGCUGCUU